AAAAAAGGUAAGCUACUAAGAGCGAAUGGUGGAUGCCUUGACUGGUAAAGGCGAUGAAGGACGUACUAGACUGCGAUAAGCUACGGGGAGCUGUCAAGAAGCUUUGAUCCGUAGAUUUCCGAAUGGGGCAACCCAAUGUAUAGAGAUAUACAUUACCUAUAUAGGAGCGAACGAGGGGAAUUGAAACAUCUUAGUACCCUCAGGAAAAGAAAUCAAUAGAGAUUGCGUCAGUAGCGGCGAGCGAAAGCGCAAGAGGGCAAACCCAGUGCUUGCACUGGGGGUUGUAGGACUGCAAUGUGCAAGAGGUAAGUUUAGCAGAACAUUCUGGAAAGUAUAACCAUAGAGGGUGAUAGUCCCGUAUGCGAAAAACAAACCUUAGCUAGCAGUAUCCUGAGUAGGGCGGGACACGAGGAAUCCUGUCUGAAUCCGGGUCGACCACGAUCCAACCCUAAAUACUAAUACCAGAUCGAUAGUGCACAAGUACCGUGAGGGAAAGGUGAAAAGAACUGAGGUGAUCAGAGUGAAAUAGAACCUGAAACCAUUUGCUUACAAUCAUUCAGAGCCCUAUGUAGGAAUACAGGGUGAUGGACUGCCUUUUGCAUAAUGAGCCUGCGAGUUGUGGUGUCUGGCAAGGUUAAGCAAACGCGAAGCCGUAGCGAAAGCGAGUCUGAAUAGGGCGCUUAGUCAGAUGCUGCAGACCCGAAACGAAGUGAUCUAUCCAUGAGCAAGUUGAAGCUAGUGUAAGAACUAGUGGAGGACUGAACCCAUAGGCGUUGAAAAGCCCCGGGAUGACUUGUGGAUAGGGGUGAAAGGCCAAUCAAACUUCGUGAUAGCUGGUUCUCUCCGAAAUAUAUUUAGGUAUAGCGUUGUGUCGUAAUAUAAGGGGGUAGAGCACUGAAUGGGCUAGGGCAUACACCAAUGUACCAAACCCUAUCAAACUCCGAAUACCUUAUAUGUAAUCACAGCAGUCAGGCGGCGAGUGAUAAAAUCCGUCGUCAAGAGGGAAACAACCCAGACUACCAGCUAAGGUCCCUAAAUCUUACUUAAGUGGAAAACGAUGUGAAGUUACUUAAACAACCAGGAGGUUGGCUUAGAAGCAGCCAUCCUUUAAAGAAAGCGUAAUAGCUCACUGGUCUAGUGAUUUUGCGCGGAAAAUAUAACGGGGCUAAAGUAAGUACCGAAGCUGUAGACUUGCACACAACUUAGAUUAUUUAAGUUUAGAAUAUGAGAAACUAAGUUAUAUGUUUAGUUAUAUUUUUACUGAUUUUUAUAGAGUAAAGAUAGAAAUAAAACUUAGUAAAAUCAGUAAAAAUAUUCUUAGACUAAAGUUAAGUAGUUUAAGUUGUGUGCAAGUGGUAGGAGAGCGUUCUAUUUGCGUCGAAGGUAUACCGGUAAGGAGUGCUGGAGCGAAUAGAAGUGAGCAUGCAGGCAUGAGUAGCGAUAAUUAAUGUGAGAAUCAUUAACGCCGUAAACCCAAGGUUUCCUACGCGAUGCUCGUCAUCGUAGGGUUAGUCGGGUCCUAAGUCGAGUCCGAAAGGGGUAGACGAUGGCAAAUUGGUUAAUAUUCCAAUACCAACAUUAGUGUGCGAUGGAAGGACGCUUAGGGCUAAGGGGGCUAGCGGAUGGAAGUGCUAGUCUAAGGUCGUAGGAGGUUAUACAGGCAAAUCCGUAUAACAAUACUCCGAGAACUGAAAGGCUUUUUGAAGUCUUCGGAUGGAUAGAAGAACCCCUGAUGCCGUCGAGCCAAGAAAAGUUUCUAAGUUUAGCUAAUGUUGCCCGUACCGUAAACCGACACAGGUGGGUGGGAUGAGUAUUCUAAGGCGCGUGGAAGAACUCUCUUUAAGGAACUCUGCAAAAUAGCACCGUAUCUUCGGUAUAAGGUGUGGUUAGCUUUGUAUUAGGAUUUACUCCGAAAGCAAGGAAACUUACAACAAAGAGUCCCUCCCGACUGUUUACCAAAAACACAGCACUCUGCUAACUCGUAAGAGGAUGUAUAGGGUGUGACGCCUGCCCGGUGCUCGAAGGUUAAUUGAUGGGGUUAGCAUUAGCGAAGCUCUUGAUCGAAGCCCGAGUAAACGGCGGCCGUAACUAUAACGGUCCUAAGGUAGCGAAAUUCCUUGUCGGUUAAAUACCGACCUGCAUGAAUGGCGUAACGAGAUGGGAGCUGUCUCAAAGAGGGAUCCAGUGAAAUUGUAGUGGAGGUGAAAAUUCCUCCUACCCGCGGCAAGACGGAAAGACCCCGUGGACCUUUACUACAGCUUGACACUGCUACUUGGAUAAGAAUGUGCAGGAUAGGUGGGAGGCUUUGAGUAUAUGACGCCAGUUGUAUAUGAGCCAUUGUUGAGAUACCACUCUUUCUUAUUUGGGUAGCUAACCAGCUUGAGUUAUCCUCAAGUGGGACAAUGUCUGGUGGGUAGUUUGACUGGGGCGGUCGCCUCCCAAAUAAUAACGGAGGCUUACAAAGGUUGGCUCAGAACGGUUGGAAAUCGUUCGUAGAGUAUAAAGGUAUAAGCCAGCUUAACUGCAAGACAUACAAGUCAAGCAGAGACGAAAGUCGGUCUUAGUGAUCCGGUGGUUCUGUGUGGAAGGGCCAUCGCUCAAAGGAUAAAAGGUACCCCGGGGAUAACAGGCUGAUCUCCCCCAAGAGCUCACAUCGACGGGGAGGUUUGGCACCUCGAUGUCGGCUCAUCGCAUCCUGGGGCUGGAGCAGGUCCCAAGGGUAUGGCUGUUCGCCAUUUAAAGCGGUACGCGAGCUGGGUUCAGAACGUCGUGAGACAGUUCGGUCCCUAUCUGCCGUGGGCGUAAGAAGAUUGAAGAGAUUUGACCCUAGUACGAGAGGACCGGGUUGAACAAACCACUGGUGUAGCUGUUGUUCUGCCAAGAGCAUCGCAGCGUAGCUAAGUUUGGAAAGGAUAAACGCUGAAAGCAUCUAAGCGUGAAGCCAACUCUAAGAUGAAUCUUCUCUAAGCUCUCUAGAAGACUACUAGUUUGAUAGGCUGGGUGUGUAAUGGAUGAAAGUCCUUUAGCUGACCAGUACUAAUAGAGCGUUUGGCUUAUCUUUAAUAAAGCAU
rnacentral:rRNA from 1 species